UGAUAGUGAUAUCAUAGUGGCGCACGGGUGCGUAACACGUAUGCAACCUACCUAUUAUUGGGGGAUAGCCUUUGGAAACGGAGAUUAAUACCGCAUAAUACGAUUAACUGGCAUCGGUUGAUUGUUAAAGCUUCGGCGAUAAUAGAUGGGCAUGCGUCCAAUUAGUUAGUUGGUGAGGUAAUGGCUCACCAAGACGAUGAUUGGUAGGGGAUCUGAGAGGAUAAUCCCCCACACUGGCACUGAGAUACGGGCCAGACUCCUACGGGAGGCAGCAGUAGGGAAUAUUGGGCAAUGGAGGGAACUCUGACCCAGCCAUGCCGCGUGCAGGAAGAAGGCGUUAUGCGUUGUAAACUGCUUUUUUAUAGGAAGAAGGAUCUCUUGCGAGAGAAGGUGACGGUACUAUAAGAAUAAGCACCGGCUAACUCCGUGCCAGCAGCCGCGGUAAUACGGAGGGUGCAAGCGUUGUCCGGAUUUAUUGGGUUUAAAGGGUGCGUAGGCGGUUUAUUAAGUCAGUGGUGAAAGACGGUCGCUCAACGAUUGCAGUGCCAUUGAUACUGGUAGACUUGAGUGUGAUUGAGGUAGCUGGAAUGGAUAGUGUAGCGGUGAAACGCAUAGAUAUUAUCCAGAACACCUAUUGCGAAGGCAGGUUACUAAGUCAUAACUGACGCUGAGGCACGAAAGUGUGGGGAUCAAACAGGAUUAGAUACCCUGGUAGUCCACACUGUAAACGAUGAUGACUAACUGUUGGCUUUCGGGUCAGUGGUACAGAGAAAUCGUUAAGUCAUCCACCUGGGGAGUACGC
rnacentral:rRNA from 1 species